AGUCGCCAUUUCUGAUUCAGUGAGAUUUUUUUCCCCCGGAAAAUCCAUUUGUUCUUGUUUAGGUUUACCAGGAGAUCUUCCUUGCAAUUGGUAAACUGCAGCCACCAGCAGGUAUAGCAUACAACCCCUGUGCUGCUUUGGACUUCGAACAACAUUGUCCACUGGGUUCGUCACUCCAUCUUCGCAGUUCGUGAAGUUCAGCUAAAUCAUAGCAGCCACUGUGCUACUUUGGACUUCGAAUAACAUUGUCCACUGGGUUCAUCACUUCUUCUUCGUAGUUGGUGAAGUUCAGCUACCGGUAUAGCAGCCAUCGGUGCUACUUUGGACUUCGAACAUCAUUGUCCUCCAACAAUCUAAUCAUUCAAAGAAAGGAAGUGACGUCCAUACCCCAGGCUGUUCUCCGAUUCUACCUGUCAAUAAAGUUGAAUUUUCUUCUACAGCUGCCUUUAUACAACCCAUGCUAUUUAAUAUAGCUUUUUGCCAACGGAUCCAAGACGUGAUCGGUCCUUUAUUUGCUAAUGCAGAGUUUUUAAGAUUUUAAAAGACCUAAUACUGACCCUUUCUUUUCUGGCAGAAGUAAAUCAGUGCAUUGCGUUAAUAACAACCCGUACACCGGAAAACAAUUUUCUCAGUGCGUUCCACAAACCAUCAUUCAAGCAAACCCUUCACGGAGUC